CCGAGUCAUUGACUCUGCUCCUCCUUCCCCGCGACCCCGACGACACAGCACCGUCCUUCCUCCGCCGUCAGCUUCACUCCAGUCGUCGCAAUGCCGCUGUUCAACCUACUUCGACGUCGCCGACGCUUCCCCUGCUCCAGUGGAAGGAGAACUCACAGUGAACAGUGUCGAGCUUCAAGGUGGCACCUGCGUUUCUAGCCACCAAUUCGAUAGCUUUUGUGGAUUAGCAGCUGAACUCCAAGGUUCCUUAAUUAAAUUGAAGGUACCAGAUAGUUUCUUGCCCAUCAAUUCAUUGAGAAAGCUUCUGGUUGCAAUAUUAAAGGUAAUUGCAGUUUUGAAUGAAAAGAUAGGUUAAUUAUAGGCUACUUUGAUAACUGUGUUCUACAAUCUGUGAAGCUUGGUUGGUACUGAGUUGGUUAGUUUGUGUGGUGGCUUCAUAUUUGGAAGUGAAGUGCAGACUAGAAAAUCUGUAGUCAUUGUUUGGUCAGAUUGUUAUAUGGUUGAGGAUGGAUUAAAUAUAUAUGUAUUGGAUUCUUUUGUGAAGGGGUUUUUCAGUUCUUAAUUCAACUGUAAAUGGACAGCUUUCCAUUGGUUGUUGCUUUUGGAUAUUUAAGAUGUUGAUUCA